GGGGAUGUAUCUCAAGGGUAGAGCAUCUGCUUAGCAUGCAGAAGGUCCCAGGUUCAAUCCCUGGCAUCUCCA